rnacentral:lncRNA from 1 species
UGAAAAUGCUAUAAAGUCUCAUUACCUUUGGGCUGAUUAUCAGAGAAAAGUGAGUAGCCAUAAUCAGUGAAAAGUGAUUUAAGGAAGUAAGAAAAAUAUUUAGCGUGAUUUAAAAAGUUACUAUUAACUAGAAUUAUGUCCAGGGCCGGGCACAUAAUGUUAGGGGCAGUUAUUCUUGUUUCCAGGAUGUAGGAACAGUUGGAAUUAGCACGAGGCUUGCUAUGACGGUGGUAAACCAGGGUCCUCCUCAUUCGCUGCCACCUGGACAGAGGCUGGCGCCCUGCCCUGAGCACACUGUGAUGGAUCUGUGACUGCAGGAGGAAGACAUGGGCAAUGAGCAGCUCACUCUGCUGGGAGACGCGCAGGGGUGGUCAGGGCAGGCUUCCCAGAGGAGGUGCACUUGAGGAUGGAGAAGGGCAGGGAUGUGCAUUCCAGGGUCCGGAAUGGCCUGAAACAAUGCACUGCGCUGUGAAAGACGAGGCCCUCCCAGGCGAUGGUGCACAGAGAUGGUGGGUUCUGUGAUCGAGGAACCCUCUCUCUGGCUUCAGCUCUGCUAAGGGACGUUCCUAACGGCAGCGUUUUUCUGGAGAACGCAGCGUCCAGGCACCCGGGCUGUGUUGGAAGGGGCCUUGUGACCUCCUCAGCAGAUCCUCUGAGGCCCAGAGCUGAGGGCCUGGGCACCUUCUGUCCUCUCAGGCCUCUGCUGCUCCCCACUCCCCAGUGCCUGGAGUCAGCCACGCUUGCCUGUCCACCUGUGUCCCCGUCUGCUCGUGGAGGCUCUGUCCCUUAGACAGCCACUCAGGGCUUCAAGCUUGUGAGGUCUGCACAGCUGCAGUCACCUAGGAAACAGUGUUCAGGGAGUCUGCCCGGGAGAGGCAGCAGGGGACAAAUGCCAGAGCCCUGCGGGGCUCCGAGUUCUGACCUGAGUGGUCCCACUGGGGGCCUGCUGGGGACAAGGUCUUCCUCAAAGGUGUCCAGCUCGGAGCAGGCCAUGGCUCCCCUUGCUGGGGGCGGCUCGCCCCGGCCACCCACCCCAGACCCCCAGUGGGACCCUCUGUUUGCCCCCUCCUCGGCCCCAAUCCUGGUAAUGGAGCCGCUCAGCCCCCGAGCCGACUGAGGGCAGGUCGCCGGGUGGACGGGCAGGGCCUUCCCUGGGGGUUGAGGCCUCCCCGGGGUCUGCGGUCUGCAUUUCCUGGGCCUGAGAAAGGGCUCCCCGUGUAAGUAAGGAGCUGAGCUGGCCAGGUCCCGAGCAGCAGGAGCGGGCAGGAGAGGAGCUGGACGUGCAGAGCCCGGAGUGGACACGCUGGAGGCUGAGGCUCUUGCAGCCAGGCCUCAGCUUCCCCACCCGUGACACGGACACACUGGGCCGGCGGGCGGUGCUGAAUUUCGUGAGCUAGUCCACAUUCCAAAGUCAAAUUGGGGUUGAGG